rnacentral:rRNA from 1 species
UGGGCAACCUGCCCCUGACACUGGGAUAACCCCCGGGAAACCGGAGCUAAUACCGGAUACUCUCGGCCGAUCACAUGGCUGGCCGAGGAAAGGUCCGCCGGUCAGGGAUGGGCCCGCGGCCUAUCAGCUUGUUGGCGAGGUAACGGCUCACCAAGGCGACGACGGGUAGCUGGUCUGAGAGGAUGGCCAGCCACAUUGGGACUGAGAUACGGCCCAGACUCCUACGGGAGCA